UACAAUGGCCGGUACAAAGGGUAGCUAGUUCGCGAGAAGCAGCCAAUCCCAAAAAGCCGGUCUCAGUUCGGAUUGCAGUCUGCAACUCGACUGCAUGAAGUCGGAGUCGCUAGUAAUCGCAGAUCAGCAUUGCUGCGGUGAAUACGUUCCCGGACCUUGUACACACCGCCCGUCACACCACCCGAGU
rnacentral:rRNA from 1 species